AUGGACUUCCCACGAUUUGAAGGAGACGAUGUUCGCAUCUGGAUCGAUGGUUGUGAGUCAUUCUUCCUGCUCUAUGACAUCCCGGAGAACUUCAAGGUAACAUCAGCUACUCUGCACUUGGGAGGUGAUGCUGCACAUUGGUAUCUCACAUACAAACAGGAGGUGGGAUGGGUGGAAUGGCGUCAGUUCAAAGAGGCUGUCAUACAAGAGUUUGAUGCUCAGUGUCACCGGGAUAAGAUGAAAGCACUGCUGAUGUUGAAACAGGAAAGCAAUGUUGAUGAAUACAGGAGAAGUUUCCUUCAGUUAGUCUAUCAGGUGCGGCUGUAUGACCCUGCUAUCAGUGAUACCUUCUUGGUCACACGGUUUAUUUUAGGAUUAAAAGAAGAAUUGCGUGGGGCAGUGGAGAUUCAGUUUCCACUCAUAGUGGCAGCAGCUGCAGCAUUUGCAUCAGUGCAAGAAGGAACUCUG
rnacentral:rRNA from 1 species